rnacentral:rRNA from 1 species
UACAGAGGGUGCGAGCGUUAAUCGGAAUUACUGGGCGUAAAGCGUGCGUAGACGGUUAUUUAAGUCAGAUGUGAAAGCCCCGGGCUCAACCUGGGAAUUGCAUUUGAGACUGAAUAGCUAGGGUGCGGUAGAGGGAAGCGGAAUUUCCGGUGUAGCGGUGAAAUGCGUAGAUAUCGGAAGGAACAUCAGUGGCGAAAGCGGCUGCCUGGACCAGCACCGACGUUCAGGCACGAAAGCGUGGGGAGCAAACAGG